rnacentral:rRNA from 1 species
UACGGAGGGAGCUAGCGUUGUUCGGAAUUACUGGGCGUAAAGCGCACGUAGGCGGCUUUGUAAGUUAGAGGUGAAAGCCCGGGGCUCAACCCCGGAAUUGCCUUUAAGACUGCAUCGCUUGAAUCCGGGAGAGGUGAGUGGAAUUCCGAGUGUAGAGGUGAAAUUCGUAGAUAUUCGGAAGAACACCAGUGGGCGAAGGCGGCUCACUGGACCGGUAUUGACGCUGAGGUGCGAAAGCGUGGGGGAGCAAAACAGGAUUGAGAAACC